rnacentral:tRNA from 1 species
AGGGAGUUAGUCCAAAGCAAGACCUCUGAUUUCGGCUCAGAAAAUUAUGGUUCAACUCCAUAGCCCCCUU